UACAGAGGGUGCAAGCGUUGUUCGGAAUUAUUGGGCGUAAAGCGCGUGUAGGCGGCUUUGCAAGUCGGGUGUGAAAGCCCUCAGCUCAACUGAGGAAGUGCGCCCGAAACUGCAGAGCUUGAGUGCCGGAGAGGAUGGCGGAAUUCCCCAAGUAGAGGUGAAAUUCGUAGAGAUCGGGAGGAACAUCAGUGGCGAAGGCGGCUAUCUGGACCGACAUUGACGCUGAGGCGCGAAAGCGUGGGGAGCAAACAGG
rnacentral:rRNA from 1 species